ACGCCUCGUCGAUUCGAAUCCACGUUUUCUCGUGAAUACCGGUGGUGACGUGGCAUCAAUUGUGAUGGAAGGAUUCCGUUAUAAUGCUCUACACAUUGCCGCCAAAGCCGGCCAAACGGAAAUAAUCGCAAAAAUUCUGGAACUCAUUCAAAAUAUCGAUUUUCUGAUUCGCCUGUACGGCACCGGCGCCGAUGACGUCACGCUACGAAAAAUCAAUAUUCUGGAUUCAUAUUUAAAUACGCCGGACAAAGGAAACUCGGAUACCCCACUACAUUUUGCUUCGAAAUUCGGAAAAAUCGGCGUUGUUCGAGUUUUGACUGAAAAUUCCGCGACGGAUAGGACACUGCUCAACAAAUCCGGAAAAAGCGCGUUGGAUUGUGCCGGCGAACGAUAUACGGGAGAGGAUAAGGAUAUGGUGCAACGGGAUAUUCAUUUGGCUAUUGAGG
rnacentral:sRNA from 1 species